CUAUAAAUUCAGUCACAUAGUAUAAAAUUAGUCAGAAUAACAACCCCACUUUAACAAACGAUGACAUCAUGCGUUGGCGAGUAUGUUAAUAUGCACGCCUCUAAUAGAUAACAGGGAGCAAUUAGACUUAAAAAGUAGACUUUUAAGUGGAAACGUCUGUUCGAAAAACAAAAUCAAAUGAGUGGUUACUUCGUAAAAAAACCUUUUCCUAUGCAUUUUACUUACAUAUACACAGUAUAUAUAAUCGCUCAUAUGGUUGGGAUGCAUUACAGAAGCAUUCCGUAAAAACGAAAGUAGACUGUAUGCUUCAUCGCUCACAAAAACAUUCCGCACACACAAAAGCACAAAGGUUUGCAAUUGAAUCACUUUCCGUUUCCAUAGCUUAAUGAUACAGCCAUUAUUUAUUAACGUUGUCUUCUACAAAGCUGGUCAAGCCAAAAGCGAAAAGUACGCUAAACUUUAGCUCUUGGCCUAAUUCUCGUCAGUAUUGCAAUUCAAUGGAGAAUUUCGACACAAAAAAUUACGCAAACUGACUAUAAAUGUUGAGAAAAAUUGCUAGAAGUUUGUUUUAGUGGAAGCCUUACGAUUCCCGAGCCUAAAGAUAAAACAAACUAUAAUUUUUUAAGGGGGACCAAAUUUCCGAAGAGGAGGGCAAAUUUCCUAGAAAAUUUGUCCCGGCGGGGGGGAAAUUUUCGGGGGGGGGGGAAUUUCCUGUGACACCGGGCCCCCGGCAAGCUCUCGGUGACCCUGGCAGUGUGUUGGUUUAAUUACCCAGUCGUGAUAUAACACAGUGGUUAAAUCAAAACACAGCUAUUGGUUGCUCU
rnacentral:lncRNA from 1 species